GACAUAGGUGGCGAACGUUAUCCGGAUUUAUUGGGCGUAAAGGAUGCGUAGAUGGUGGAAUAAGUUAUUGGUCGAGGUCAAGCUCAACUUGGCGGAAGCUGAUAAUACUGUUCUACUUGAGGGUAGGAGAGGUUGGCGGAAUUCUGUGUGGAGCGGUGAAAUGCGUUGAUCUACAGAGGAACACCAAAAAGGGCGAAGGCAGCCAACUAUUCUGAUCCUGACAUUGAGGCAUGAAAGCGUGGGGAGCAAACCGG
rnacentral:rRNA from 1 species